UACAGAGGUCUCAAGCGUUGUUCGGAUUCAUUGGGCGUAAAGGGUGCGUAGGCGGCGCGGUAAGUCGGGUGUGAAAUCUUGGAGCUUAACUCCGAAACUGCAUUCGAUACUGCCGUGCUUGAGGACUGGAGAGGAGACUGGAAUUUACGGUGUAGCGGUGAAAUGCGUAGAUAUCGUAAGGAAGACCAGUGGCGAAGGCGGGUCUCUGGACAGUUCCUGACGCUGAGGGCACGAAGGUCAGGGGAGCAAACGGG
rnacentral:rRNA from 1 species